GUGUGUGUUGGUUUCCUUCACAGGUUGUACUCCACCCUGACCUCCUCUCACAGAGAUCUCACUCCACAGCUGGUGGAGGAUCAGCUGAUUCAAACCUGUUCACAGAGUCAAGGCAAAGAGGCCCGGCUGGUGAGACACACACACACACACACACACACACACACACACACACACACACACACACACACACACACAGCAUCUUUUUUGUGGCGUAUAAACAAAAAAUCUUUAAAUAUCAGUCAAUAGUUAUUAGUUAUUGAUGACACUUGGUAAUAUAUCGAUAUCUCUGUGUUCUCUUAUGUCUGUGUCGUCAACAUUUGAACAUUUUUGAGCGGUCCGCUCUUUCUGACUGUAAACAAAGCCGUUCUCCACCUCCUCUAACCUGAUUGGUUGUGAGGCAGACGCUGCUCCCCCGUGUCGUUCAGGAGCCCAAACAAAGUUAGCGUGCUACAAUAUCGGACAGUAGAAACCAACCAGAAAGUUCGGAAAAUUGUCUGAAUCCUCCUUUGGCCACGACUGCCGACACAAGCAAGAAAACAAAGUAAAUACCGGAGACUCUGGAGGAAUAACGGGCGCUUAAAACGGAGGUAGACCGGACAAGAGCUAAAAAGCCGGGUCAACAUAAACGAUGGGGGGCGUCUGUUUGUGGGCGGGGCUUGAAGGGAGGGGAGGAGCUGAGGGGAAAACUGGUUGUGAGGGGUAGAGUUUACAUUCAAGAUUUCUCCUAAAAACUGGAACGUCCUCAUAGAGCUGAUAUUAUAAACUGUCUCAUUCACUGUCACGGUUUGUGCCACAUGCUGAGAUCAAUAAGAGAAUCAAUAACCACAGAGAUAUGUGACGAUGAUCUAUCAGAGCAGCUCUAACUCGGUUUAACCAGUUUAACUAGUUUACCCAGUUACUGAUGAUCUGAGUCUCUGGAUCAGAGCGAGGAGCUCAUUAAACACAGUUAGAGUCUUUAUUUACUGUGAGCGAGAGUGUGUCCUCACAAGUGUGUGUGUGCGUGUGUGUGUGUGUGUGUGUGUGUGCAGUGUUAUUAUCUCGGAGCCAGCAGUGAUGCAGCGUCCCGGGUCACGGCGUCAGUGUCUCGUCCUCUCGCCUCUCAUGUUCCUGUCCAGAAAAUUUGCCAACGACUGAACAGCAGAGACACACAGAUCUGUCAGCUGACGUACGGUGAGCGCGCGCACACACACACACACACAUGCAUGAAUUUUUAAUCAUCAUCAUACUGACUUCUCUCUGAGCUGAGUCUGAUCAGCUGAAGUGUUUCUGUGGUUAUUACUUGUCGUUUGUUUACAGAGCGCAGUCUGAAGGACCUCAGCAGUGAGGGUCUGAGGAGUCUGAGGGUCUCCGAGCUGAAGGGGAUCUUGACGUCGUGGGGGGAGGAGUGUCGGGGCUGUUUAGAGAAACACGAGUUUGUGAGUUUAAUUCAGGAGAAAGCUGCUCUGCACACACACACCACAGAGCUUUAAAGCCCUUCACACAC